rnacentral:hammerhead_ribozyme from 1 species
GCACUGUUGAGGAGUCCCACAAUAGGACGAAACGGCUGUUCAGUAC